AACGAACGCUGGCGGCAGGCUUAACACAUGCAAGUCGAACGCCCCGCAAGGGGAGUGGCAGACGGGUGAGUAACACGUGGGAACAUGCCCAAAGGUACGGAACAACUCCGGGAAACUGGAGCUAAUACCGUAUGUGCCCGAAAGGGGAAAGAUUUAUCGCCUUUGGAUUGGCCCGCGUCGGAUUAGCUAGUUGGUGGGGUAAAAGCCUACCAAGGCGACGAUCCGUAGCUGGUUUGAGAGAACGACCAGCCACGCUGGGACUGAGACACGGCCCAGACUCCUACGGGAGGCAGCAGUGGGGAAUCUUGGACAAUGGGCGCAAGCCUGAUCCAGCCAUGCCGCGUGGAUGAUGAAGGCCUUAGGGUUGUAAAAUCCUUUCGUUGGGGACGAUAAUGACGGUACCCAAAGAAGAAGCCCCGGCUAACUUCGUGCCAGCCGCCGCAGUAA
rnacentral:rRNA from 1 species